rnacentral:rRNA from 1 species
UAUGUGAUCGUCUCUCGCAUAUCAAUAAGCGGAGGAAAAGAAACUAACAAGGAUUCCCCUAGUAACGGCGAGUGAAGCGGGAAGAGCUCAAAUUUGAAAUCUUAAAGGGUUUCCCUUUACGAAUUGUAGUUUAAAGAAGUGUUUUCUGUUGAGGUUUUGGUAAAAGUUCUUUGGAAUAGGACAUCAUAGUAGAGUGAGAAUCCCGUAUUUGACCUUUACUUUCAACUUUGUGAUACACUUUCAAAGAGUCGGAUUGUUUGGGAAUGCAGUCCAAAAUGGGUGGUAAAUUUCAUCUAAAGCUAAAUAUUGGCGAGAGGCCGAUAGCGAACAAGUACCGUGAGGGAAAGAUGAAAAGAACUUUGAAAAGAGAGUUAAACAGUACGUGAAAUUGUCAAAAGGGAAGCGUUUGACACCAGUGUUGUUUUUCUGAAAAUCAAUUAAAGAACUGUUUAUGCUAAGUUGUUUAGACUUUAUCAGCUAUCUGCUUAGUUUUGAGCUUUUCUUUAAUGCACUUUUCAGUUAACAAGUCAACAUCAAUUUCUUUUGCUGUAAAAAAGCUUGAGGAAGGUGGCUUGAGAUUCGUCUUAAGUGUUUAUAGCCUCUUGCCUAUGCAGUCGGAGAGAUUGAGGUCUGCAGCGUAGAUCCUUCGGGGCUAAAUGCAUUUGUGCUAAGUUAUAGCAUUUUAUAGACAACUUGUUGACUAUGAUUUGUCUUGUAGCUUACUCGCUUAUGUUAUUUUACCUACGCUUAGGAUGUUGAUAUCGCGCUCUCACUG